rnacentral:rRNA from 1 species
AACGAACGCUGGCGGCGUGCUUAACACAUGCAAGUCGAACGUGAUUCAGCCUUCGGGCUGAUGAAAGUGGCGCACGGGUGAGUAACACGUGGAUAAUCUACCCGAUGAUCCGGGAUAACAUCUCGAAAGGGGUGCUAAUACCGGGUAAGCCCACGGACUCUUCGGAGUUUGCGGGAAAAGGUGGGGACCUUCGGGCCUACCGUCAUCGGAUGAGUCCGCGGCCCAUUAGCUAGUUGGUAGGGUAACGGCCUACCAAGGCAACGAUGGGUAGCUGGUCUGAGAGGAUGAUCAGCCACACUGGAACUGAGACACGGUCCAGACUCCUACGGGAGGCAG